rnacentral:rRNA from 1 species
CAUCCUACGGGGGGCAGCAGUAGGGAAUCUUCCACAAUGGACGAAAGUCUGAUGGAGCAACGCCGCGUGAGUGAAGAAGGGUUUCGGCUCGUAAAGCUCUGUUGGUAGUGAAGAAAGAUAGAGGUAGUAACUGGCCUUUAUUUGACGGUAAUUACUUAGAAAGUCACGGCUAACUACGUGCCAGCAGCCGCGGUAAUACGUAGGUGGCAAGCGGUGUCCGGAUUUAUUGGGCGUAAAGCGCGUGCAGGCGGGUCCAUAAGUC